UACAGAGGUCUCAAGCGUUGUUUCGGAUUCAUUGGGCGUAAAGGGUGUGUAGGUGGCGCCGUAAGUCGGGUGUGAAAUUUCGGAGCUUAACUCCGAAACUGCAUUCGAUACUGCGGUGCUUGAGGACUGGAGAGGAGACUGGAAUUCAUGGUGUAGCAGUGAAAUGCGUAGAGAUCACGAGGAAGACCAGUGGCGAAGGCGGGUCUCUGGACAGUUCCUGACACUGAGACACGAAGGCCAGGGGAGCAAACGGG
rnacentral:rRNA from 1 species